rnacentral:rRNA from 1 species
CAGCAGCCACGGUAAUACGAAGGGUGCAAGCGUUACUCGGAAUUACUGGGCGUAAAGCGUGCGCAGGCGGUUAUAUAAGACAGAUGUGAAAUCCCCGGGCUCAACCUGGGAACUGCAUUUGUGACUGUAUAGCUAGAGUACGGCAGAGGGGGAUGGAAUUCCGCGUGUAGCAGUGAAAUGCGUAGAUAUGCGGAGGAACACCGAUGGCGAAGGCAAUCCCCUGGGCCUGUACUGACGCUCAUGCACGAAAGCGUGGGGAGCAAACAGGAUUAGAUACCCCCGUAGUCCCUGUCUCUUAUAC